UACGUAGGGGGCCAGCGUUGUCCGGAAUCAUUGGGCGUAAAGCGCGCGUAGGCGGUCAGGUAAGUCCGGUGUGAAAGUCAAAGGCUCAACCUUUGAAUGUCGAUGGAUACUGCCGGGCUAGAGUCCGGAAGAGGCGAGUGGAAUUCCUGGUAUAGCGGUGAAAUGCGUAGAUAUCAAGAGGAACACCUGCGGCGAAGGCGGGUUGCUGGGCCGACACUGACGCUGAGGCGCGAAAGCUAGGGGAGCGAACGGG
rnacentral:rRNA from 1 species